rnacentral:rRNA from 1 species
GACGAACGCUGGCGGCGUGCUUAACACAUGCAAGUCGAACGGAAAGACCCUGCUUUUGUGGGGUGCUCGAGUGGCGAACGGGUGAGUAACACGUGAGUAACCUGCCCUUGACUUUGGGAUAACUUCAGGAAACUGGGGCUAAUACCGGAUAGGAGCUCCUGCUGCAUGGUGGGGGUUGGAAAGUUUCGGCGGUUGGGGAUGGACUCGCGGCUUAUCAGCUAGUUGGUGGGGUAGUGGCUUACCAAGGCUUUGACGGGUAGCCGGCCUGAGAGGGUGACCGGCCACAUUGGGACUGAGAUACGGCCCAGACUCCUACGGGAGGCAGCAGUGGGGAAUAUUGCACAAUGGGCGGAAGCCUGAUGCAGCAACGCCGCGUGCGGGAUGACGGCCUUCGGGUUGUAAACCGCUUUCGCCUGUGACGAAGCGUGAGUGACGGUAAUGGGUAAAGAAGCACCGGCUAACUACGUG